UGUCUGGAUGUCUGCUCUGGGGAGAUAGGGUUUUGUGUGAUCCCAGCCAGGCCAGCCCUCCUCUCCAGGACUCUCCCCAGGAAAACCCUGUCAGCCAGGGGGUCCUGGCAGCUCCCUUCUGCCCUGGGGAGAAGCUUCCAGCAGCUCAGCCCACGAGGCCUUCAUGGAGCUUGGGAACAAGCUAUCCCUGGUCCGGCAGGGGGAGGGCGAGAAGUACGUGGUGCUGUAGCAGCACUCCCAGGAAGCGGUGCCUGGCCCGCCGGCCAGCAUGGCCCUGCGGGAGGGCCCACGGGCAGGGCCAGAGGAAGGGCCUGCAUUGCCCCACAUCCUGAUCACUGACUUCAGUGCUUCGAGCACUGCAGCCUGGGGCAGCCUCGAGGGGGUCCCUGCUACAGCCCCCAACCCACAGCCUGGGCCUGAACCCCCAAGAGCGGCAGAGGAGGAUGCAGAGUGUCUCUCCAAGCCUGAGUUGGAGCAGGAUGCCUCCGAAGAUGGAGGGAGCAGCCUGGGCUCCAGCUCUGUGGCGCUGGACCCCGUGGAGAAGGAGUGGCUGCAGGGGGCAGCCAGCGGGCACCUGCUCACCCUGAGUCACCUGCUCAAACAGGACCCGUCCCUGGCCACCAGGAAGGACUUCACCUCGGGGGUAAGUCGGGGCCGUGGAGCUGGCUGCUUCUGCAGAGGCUCAGGGUGGGGAGUGUUGGGGUUCGUUGAGCCCUGGUCCCUGGCGGGAUCCCCAGUGCCCAGCAGGGAGCCUGGGGAUCUGAACGGGAGCCCAGCCCAGCCCCAGGGGGCAGUAGCAAAGCAGUCCAGCCAGGGAAGAAGGGGGGUCCAAGGCCCGAAGAACAGCUCUCCCCAGGGGCUUCCAAAUCCAGAUGCUUGGAGGCUGAGUUUCCUGCCCCAAAUGGAAGGUUUGGGCUGGCCUCCCCCACGUUGGACCAACACCGCACUGGCUCUGGGGGCCCCAUGUGAUGCUUCUAACAUGUCUCCUUCUCUGCCCCGUCCCUUCCACCCGUCCCUGCCGGUGCCGGCGCCCAUCUCGGCCGGGAGCAGUUUACAGCGCUGCACUGGGCGGCCAAGCAUGGCCAGGAGGACUUGGCCUCGCUGCUGGUGGCUGCAGGAGCCGAUGUCAACUCGCGAUCGCAGGGCGUGA
rnacentral:lncRNA from 1 species